ensembl:lncRNA LINC02318 long intergenic non-protein coding RNA 2318
GCCAUUUUGCCUCUCAGUGUUCAAGCUUGAGCCCACGCAUCCAACUCCUGAGAUCUUACUGGGAAGCUGCUGAUCAUCAGUUUCAGGAAGUCAGCAUGGAUCAGCCUUACGUUCAUGGCCUCCAGGCCCUAUUCUCCUGCCUCACAGGGACCGGCCAGGAUCUCUAUCCUUACAGCACGUUGGAAUGUAUAUGCUCCUCUCCCCACAUCGCCUUAGGGAGCAGGCAGGUGUCAGGGGCAGCACAAGGACGGCCAACAGGACAGAAGACGGGUUGAAGAUCCGAGAGGCUGAGUCACUUCCACAAAGUAACACAGCUGACUAGAACACUUGAGGACUUCAAUCUACUGACAUUUAGAUUGCCUUGGGAGAACAGCCAGCAAUUCUUACACCCACAGAUUUUAAAUGCCUGCAUUCAGCAUCCCUGCAGCAGGCUCCAGGUGGAAUUCUAAUGGGACCAGCCUCCAGUCCCUGGACCUUAGCCGUGGAAGGAGAGAAGAGGACAUCUGCACCUCCUCUCAGAGAAAGCCUGAUGCCUACUAAAGGACUUGGGUGGUGGACGCAGUGACCCUCAGUCUGGAGCUUGUUCACUGAACAUUGGAGACUAUCAUUUGCGCAGAUGGUCUUGGGCCUCUAUGAGCAGCAGGCUGCACCCCACAGUGACCUCCUCAUUCUACUCUGAGGCAUCUUCAUGAAAGCAGAUGUCCAUUGAAAAGCACCCAAGUGCAGUCUCAGCUGAUGAACUUCAGAGGCGAUUGAGACAAAGGCUCUCGGUCCCCUCUGCCCUUGGAUGGUGCCUCUGGUAUGCACUUGGCCUCUGUGUCUUUAUUUAGACUGGUCACUUCACAACCCAUCAUGUCACCCCACCCCUAACCGUGCCCACUCUGGGUCCUCCCCUCAACUGCCUGACUUCCCACUUUGAGCUCAGCAAAGGCAAUAGAUGUUUUGUCUGCUUC